rfam:Monodelphis domestica chromosome 6, whole genome shotgun sequence.
AAGAAUUUAGCUUAAUUAAAGCAUUUGAUUUGUGUUCAAAAUAUGCAAGAUAAAGGCUUGUAAUUCUUA